GCUGUCAUCAUCCAUGAUUUUGGAAAGCCCAAAAUCUGUGAUUUUUAUCUCUCCGCAUGCAGUACCAUUGACUAGAAGAAUGUUACCUGGUUUAAGGUCAUAGUGUAUGAUGGGAGGUUUGAUUUCAUUUAAGUAUUUUAAAGCAUUCACAAUCUGCAUGAUAAUGGAUCGUGCCUCCUUCUCCGACAUUAACUUGUGCUGUUUCAGGUAGAAGUCCAGAUCGUUUCCCUCACAGUAUUCUAACACUGUACAAAACGAGUCAGUAUCCAGUGAAAAGUAGUCAUAUAGCUUAACUAUUCGAGGAUGAUCCAGUUCUUUGUGAAUUCUGUACUCUCUACACGCAUGUUUGUGAUAGUUUUCUUUCUUCUCAUCUCUCCAGUUUUUAUUUAACUGGUGUAUUUUCACAGCUACGUAUCUCUGUUCCGUUAAAUCAAAUGCCUUAUAUACCUCACUGAAGCCUCCCCGACC
rnacentral:lncRNA from 1 species